rnacentral:rRNA from 1 species
AUGAAAUUAAAAUUAUUAAAUAUAAUUUUAUCAAUAAUAAAUAAACUUAAUAAUAAUAAUAAUAUUAUUAUUAAUAAUCUAUUAGAUUCAUUAAUAAAUAAGAAAUUAUUAUUAAAGAAUAUAUUAUUAGAUAUAAAUAAUAAAAAAAUAAAUAAUAUAAAAAGAAUAUUAAAUAAUAAUAAUAUAAAUAUUAAUAAUAAAUUACAACAUUUAAAUAAUAUAAAUAAUUGAAAUCUACAAAUUUAUAAUUAUAAUAAAAAUAUAGAAAUUAUAAAUACUAUAAAUGAUAAAUUAAUUAAUAAAUUAUUAUAUAAAAUAAUAACUUUAAAAUUAAAUAAUAUAAAUAUUAAUAAAAUUAUUAUAAGUAAACUUAUUAAUCAACAUAGUUUAAAUAAAUUAAAUAUUAAAUUUUAUUAUUAUAAUAAUGAUAUUAAUAAUAAUAAUAAUAAUAAUAAUAAUAAUUAUUAUAUAAAUAUAAUAAAUAAAUUAAUAAAUAUUAUAAAUAAUAAUAUAAAUAAUAAUUUAUGUAAUAUUUUAAGUUAUUAUUAUAAUAAAAAAGUAACUAUUGAACCUAUUAAAUUAUCAUAUAUUUAUUUAAAUAGUGAUAUUUUUAGUAAAUAUAUUAGUUUAAAUGAUAUAGAUAAAUAUAAUAAUGGUAUCUUAACUAAUUAUCAACGUAUAUUAAAUAAUAUUAUGCCUAAAUUAAAUGAUCAUAAUAUUUCUAUAAAUUAUAUUAAUAAUAUUAAUAAUAUUAAUAAUAAUAAAUAUAAUAAUAUAAUUAAUUUAUUAAAUAAUAAUAAUAAUAUUAAUAAUUAUAAUAAUUAUAAUAAUUAUAAUAAUAAUAAUAAUAAUAAUAAUUAUAUUGGUAAUAUUAAUAAUAUUUAUAAUAAUAUAACUAUUGAUAAUAUUCCUAUAGAUAUUUUAAUAUAUAAAUAUUUAGUUGGUUGAUCUAUUAAAUUUAAAGGUAGAUUAAGUAAUAAUAAUGGUAGAACUAGUACACUUAAUUUAUUAAAUGGUACUUUUAAUAAUAAAAAAUAUUUAUGAAGUAAUAUUAAUAAUAAUUAUAAAUUAAAUUAUAUCCCUUCUAAUCAUAAUUUAUAUAAUAAUUCUAAUAUUAAUAAAAAUGGUAAAUAUAAUAUUAAAGUUAAAUUAAACUUUAUUUAA